rnacentral:lncRNA from 1 species
GGUGGUUGUGCUCCCCGUGGAGGUUGAGAUCCCAUCAAUGAGAGUCUUGAUGGAAGCCAAGUUAACUGAGGCUGAAUGGGUUCAGAGUCGUUAUGACCAGCUGAAUUUGAUUGAAGAGAAAAGAUUAACUGCCAUGUGCCAUGGUCAGUUAUAUCAGCAAAGGAUGAAGAAAGCCUUUGAUAAGAUGGUCAAACCUCGUGUGUUCCGAGAAGGUGACCUCGUGCUCAAGAAAGUUUUGUCUUUCGCGCCCGAUUCUAGGGGCAAGUGGACUCCAAACUAUGAAGGUCCAUAUGUUGUUAAAAGAGCCUUUUCAAGCGGUGCUUUGAUACUUACAACUAUGGAUGGGGAAGAUUUCACUCGUCCUGUGAAUUCAAAUGCAGUCAAGAAAUACUUCGCCUAAAAUAAAAACAGAAUAGCUCGCUAAGUUGAAAACCCGAAAGGGCGACUUAGGAAAAAAUGAGCGUCUUGGUGGAUUGAAAACCCGAAAGGGCGGUCCAGGCAAAAGUUAGAGACAUGAAAAAAAUGAAUAUAUAUAUCGCGCUAGAUUGAGUACCUCACCCUGGGGAAAUCUAGGCAAAAAUUAGGGAUUUGGCAAGUAACUGCAUCCUGACAAGACUUUGUUCUUCAACUGUCAUCUGUCAAAGAUUCUCGCUCAAUCAUCGUCAACUGAAGCUUCAAAUACAUUGGAUUCAAAGUUGGCGGAGAAAUGGUCAUUAUGUUCAAUGUAGCCCUUUUUCCAAUAUAUGUCACCAAUUUCAAAUUUGUAAAGAUCCAUGGAGUCUUGCCAUUUGCGGACUACCAUUCUAUCAAAUAAAUUUGAGCCUUUAUCCAAUUCUCUGCACUCUUAUUUGUUUCUGCUUAACAAAUGUUUGCAUGUUUUAAUUGAUAAAUAUCAUUGUUUUAAACAAAUAAAGUUUUUAUAAACUGUUUUUAAACAAAGUGAACAUUCACAAAGACUAAAAAAGAUAGUUGGGAUGUCUUCAGUGCUCUCCCAAGGAUAGUACGAUCUCCAAAAGGUAAGACAUUUUUUUAUAUUCUGACAUGUUUGUAUCCUCUUCAUCAUCUUUCAGGAUGUCUCCCUAGCGAGCGCAAAGAAGAGCGAUGCAUCCUCAACUCCCUAGAGAGUUUGGAGUUUUGGCCUCGAUCUUUUAGAGAUGUGUAUACCUCUAUAUCAGGCACUAGCAUUUGUGUUUUAUCAAUUAUGUGGUUAUCAUCCCUUGUGUGGACUGAUCUAAAAUCCCUUAUAGAUUGAUAAAAGUUUGAUAUGCUAUCUAUUCAUGAGGAAGUUUGUCUUUCCUCAGUGAGCAGAAAUUCACAGCAUGAGUAGAAGUCCUCAGCAUAGUAAGCAUGUGCCCUGCAAAGCUAUCUUUAAGAUAUCUCCUCAGCAGUAGUUGCCUAGAGUAGUUGGUGAAGGGUUUGUUCCCUUUUCAUCCCCAGCAUGGCACGUGUCGACGUAGGAUUCGUUUCCGAUUCCCUCAGCCAAGACAGUUCCUCCGGAGGUACUUGUAGUUAUCCCCAGUAGGGUUGCUUGCAGCAGACUAUCCCUAGUAUGGUCGCCUAUAGUCCCUUCCCAGUGGAGUUGCCUGAUCCUAACUUGACGUUGUAUCCCCUCCGAGUCCGAAGAUUUCUUCCAGUAUUGGACGACGAUUGAGGAAGAUGUGUUAUUUCCUUCCCCAGCGGAGCAAUUGUUCUCUCUCUCUCUCUCUCUCCCCUAGUAGAGAUGUCCCUCCAGCAGUUAGAAAGGAGUGUUUGAUUGAUGUGUAUCUGUUUGGUGGUUGUUCCCCAUGGAAUCUCACAUCAUCCCCUGAUAAGAUCCCUAGUAGAGUUCUUCUAUGGCAGAUCUUAUUGAUAUCUCUGCAUGUUCCCCUGCUGAGACUUUUCCCUCCCCAGCGGUGGUCCAUAUCUCCUGGUAUUUGGUGCAUCCCCAUCAGGAUUGACUUCUCUUGUGGGUCUGGCUUUCUCUUUUUGAGAUGUUAUACCGGAUGUCCGUUCGUAGGCUCUGGAACCUGUUUGUGUUAGAUAUGUCUGGCUGUCAGCAUUAAUCAUACAUAAACCACGCACAUACAUGCAUAAUUAUAGCAUACAGAUAUUCAUGUUGCAUUUUUUGCCAUAUAUCUUUGCUUGUUAUCCCCUGCUAUUGGUGAAAUGUUCUUCCCCAAGCAGAUGUUGAGUCUGAUCUCUCCAUAUAGAGUCGGCCCCAUAGGCAGAAAGUGUCUAUCUUUCUUUCCAUAUUCCCCACUGAGUUAUGUCCUCGUGGAUGAUUAUUGUUUCAGCUUCCUCCCCAAUUAUAUAUAGGGAUGGAAUUACUCCCUGAGUUAUAUCCUUAUUGGGUUGAGUCUUGUUAAUUGUGUCUCUCUAGCUUGUUCCUAGAUUGACUCCCUUCUUAUUUUUUCCCUGCAGUUCCCUGCGGUUUAGUUGUUCAAUUGCUCAAUAACCAGUAAUUGUUCAUACUUUCCCCAGUGGAACUUUGUGGCCUUCUACCCAGUAAACGAUAGUUGUAAGUCCUAUUUCCGUGGUUUUCUAUCCAGUAACCGGUAGAUGUAAUCCCCUCUUUGUUGGUUAUCUUUAUCCAAUAUUCGGUAUUGAUAUUCCUUUGUUUUUUUUGAAGUAUUUCACCCAGUAACCGGUGAUAUAUCUCUUGGAUGAUUGUUCGUAUCAAACAAUUUAUCCCCCGCCAAGUCAUAUUUCAUUUACCUCUUUGUUUGGUAAUGAUUGUUUCUCCUUCUGAUUGGUCAUCAUUUUAUACCCAGUAACCGGUAUCCCGAUGUCCUUUCUUUUUGGUCGAUUUAUCCUUUAUUAACCCAGUAACCGGUUGUGGAUAAUCUAUCUGAUUGGUCAUCAUUUUAUACCCAGUAACCGGUAUCCCGAUGUCCUUUCUUUUUGGUCGAUUUAUCCUUUAUUAACCCAGUAACCGGUUGUGGAUAAUCUUCCAUGCGAGUAUGUUAUCUAUGUUAUGACGGUAAUAGAUAAUAUAUCUCAUGCGCUCUUCAGUAGAAGUCUCUUUUCUUCCCCAGUUGAGUAAGAUUCGUAUUUCCUUAUGGAAUCGAAUGCCCAUCCUGUAAGUCGAGUUUGCUUUUUCAGCCCUCCUUUCGGACGAUGAGUUUCUUGGACUUAUUCCCAAUUCACGCUUGGUUGGUCACCUAUUAUAUGCCCAGUAACCGGUAUCCCUGGUGUUCCUUCCCUCUGCUCCCUAUUAUGACUUUUUGUCCCCCUGUGGAGUCAGAUUCUCUUGAGUUGAGAUGUGCCUUUUAGAUCAUCCUCAGAUGUUUCAGAUGAUUGAUAUCUCUAACCCUUAUACCGGUCUUAGAUAUUCUAUCUCCCUGAGCAUGUUGUUCUCCCACCCAGUAACUGGUGUCUUAAUAACAUGUCUCUCUUUGAGUUUAUUACCCAAUAACCGGUAAUAUCUCGUUGUUUCUUCCUCAGUUGGUUCCUUUAUGGAUUUCCCCAUCUGAGUCCGGAUCUUUAUCCGAGGUAUCCUUUGUGGAUAGUUGUGAUGUAUUGGCAUAUUCCCCAAUACAUGCAUCUUUACGUCAGCUCGAGUCUUUCCAUUGAUUUAUUUUCGUGGAAUCCCUUCGUGUCUCCCAGCAAGUUUUCAAGUCGUGACCUGCUCACGCAUUCUUAUCCUAUUUUCCCCCAGAGUCUCUGUCUCCCUAGUGAGUGUGUUACUCCUAUGGAUUUUUUCAGUUUCUCCUGAUUUCUCUUUCCUUUGUGGCCAUAUUUCCCCACAGAGUAUUAACUUUUGCAUGCAUACAUCUGCAUCAUGAGGUCUCUUAAGGUCUCUUAGGGACCAAAAUUCGUCUCUUUGUUAUUAUUUAAGCCCAUUCUACCUCGUCGAGACGAAGAUUUUAACCUUCAUAUCUCCGGCUAGAAUGACCUUAAAUAUGGGCAUCUGUAAGACCCUAAUUUUGACCCUAAGAUCCCUCAUGGCAUCACAUCAUUUGCUCAUUGCAUUGCCUCAAGGAUCAUAGCAUGUGUGGCUCCUUUACCCUAUGGUUGAGACUUGUGUGAGUGGUUUGAGACCACCAAGCAUGCUUGAAUUGUAUAUUAUUGCUUUUCUUAUUUUGUUUAACUAACCAAAAGCACAAAAAGAUGUCACUAACUUUUUUAUUUUGAAGCUCAAGUAAUCAUGUGUGCCAAUGCUCCUAGGAGACUCCUAAGCUCAAUGAAGUGGCUAGAUGAAAAUGAGAGCAAGCAUGACAAUCCCUGAACUACGAGGUUUUGAUCCUACCUUUGUGAUGGUACGUAGGCAAUGGGUUCAUCCAUUCAAACAAUAAAUUUGUAAGUAUAAUGUAUAUUCUUUUCUCAUCCCCCCAAUCUUUUGCACAUAUUUUCACAAAUACCAACCUACAACACACAUUUGCAAAAAGAGGUUCCCUUAGAGUACUAAGGAUGUUUUGGGUGCUUAAAACCUUCCCGAUCUCAUAACCAACCCCCUUUACCUAGAUCUCUGACAUUUUUAUUAGUUUUUGAUUUGAUAAAACUUCUUACUUGGCUUUUGUUCACUUUUUAGCCUUUCCUUUGGACAAAUAAAAGUGCGGUGGCGACUCGAAUUGUAUGUUUACUUUUGGUUUAAUCAAUAAACCAUAAGGUAACGAAUACCCCGCUACAGUAAUAUAAUUUUAUGAAGAAAGAGAAGAAUACAAUACCAAAGGAGGACAACCUUGAAGAUCUUGCUUGGAGAAGCUUAGAUCGUUGUUAGGUUAGCUUAGGUUCUCUCAUUGGCUUGGGAGAACAAUUGCGUUAUGGGCCAUAACUGUUUCAUUUUGUAUGUAUGUUGAUGCAUGUGAAUGUAUGUUGAUGCAUGUGAGAGACGAUUUAUAUGAUAAAUAAGCCGGUGAUAUCAGAAUAAUUAUAAAUUCCCUCAAAUUAAAUAUUAAGUUUAUGCUUUCCAAGUUUUAGCACUCAUCAAGACUAGUAUCGAAUAAUGUAGGUUUCGCCUACGCGAGGUGCAUAUUCUAUAUUAGUAAGGUGCGAUGGGAUAAAUUGUGAUAUCCAAUUGCUUAAAAGCAAUGGGUCAAACUUACUAAACCAACAUUAUAAUAAGAUUAUAUAUGUUUAGAAGCAAGAGUUGGAAAUGAUCCAUGUGAUGGAUUGGAAUAAGGAGUUAUUCACCCAACUAAAAUAUUCGAGAGUUGUAUUAGAUACAAUUGGAAGGAGUUUAUACCUAAAUAACCUAGUUUUGUGUAAUCCGCCUAGACGGACUUAAAACAAAGUGAAAUGUGGAUCUCGACCCACUAGAAAAUCUUCCAAUGAGAUUUUCCGAAUCAAAUGGUGAGGGUCAUUUGUUUUGAGUAAAAUAGAGGGAGCAUAUUUAAUUAAAGGCCUAAUUAAAUAUGUUAUUAAUACUUAUAUUUUCAUUAUUUUCAUGUAGAUUACCAUGACAACAAACACCUCUAACAACAUUUUGCGAUCAAUCAUUGAUAGGGAAAAAUUGUCUAGGACAAAUUUUCUGGAUUGGCACCGAAAUUUGAGGAUUGUCCUCAAACAUGAUAGAAAGUUGUAUGUCUUGGAGAAACCUGUUCCUGAAGAGGAACCUCCUAGUUUUGCACCUAAGGCAGAAAGAGAUGCUUAUAAGAAGCAUGUCGAAACAUGAUAGAAAGUUGUAUGUCUUGGAGAAACCUGUUCCUGAAGAGGAACCUCCUAGUUUUGCACCUAAGGCAGAAAGAGAUGCUUAUAAGAAGCAUGUCGAUGAUGCCAAUGAAACUGCUUGCCUUAUGCUAGCUACCAUGAACUCAGAGUUACAAAAGCAACAUGAGAACAUGGAAGCAUUCGAUAUGAUCGAACACCUGAAGAUGCUCUAUUAAGAGCAAGUAAGACAUGAAAGAUUUGAAAUUUCAAAAGCCCUUUUUCAAGGCAAGUUAGUUAAGGGAGCCCCUGUAGAUCCCCAUGUGCUCAAGAUGAUUAGGUAUGUGGAGAACCUUGAGAGGUUGGGUUUUCCCAUCGGAAAGGAAAUUGCAACUAAUUUGAUCUUGCAAUCAUUUCCAGAUAGAUUCAGUCAAUUUGUCCUUAAUUUCAAUAUGAAUGGUAUGGACAAAUCUCUUCCUGAACUGCUAGCCAUGUUAAGAACUGCUGAGCAGAAUCUAAAGUCAAAAGGGAAGUCCAUUCUGAUGAUCAGAGAAUUGGAGAAGAGGAAAGAACAAGAAGCAAGCCCAACCAAGCAGGUCGUGAAAAGGGAAAGGCGCAAGAAGUUGCGCAAACUCCAAGACCCACGUGCUUCUGCUUUGAAGCCUGAGGUGGAGGCAAACGAAGGAAGACAGGCUACUUCCAUAUUGUGGUAACGACCGAACAGCUAGAAGAGAAACGUGCCCAAAUGGGUACCUUGGAGAGAUAUGAGAAGAUAGAAGAGAGACUUACUUCAGGGAUUUUGCUUAUUUGAAAAUUAAUUUAUCUACUUGCUGCAUCAUGGGUAUUAGAUACUGGAUGGCGGCGUCUCACAAUGGUGUGAACCAAUGUGCAGGGCUAGGAAAAGGAGUAGAGAGUUGGCAAAGGUGAAUUGACCUUACGAGUCGGCAGGAUGGAGCAAAGAUUGUUUGCUUUAGCCGUUAGGAGACUUAUGUAUUGGACGUGUACCUAUUGUGGUUUAAUAAUUGCGUAGUUAGGAGAACUGGAUUAUAAUAGUACUCGCAGAUUAGCGAGGGACGUAUUAUUUUCGUUUGUUCUUGUUUAGACAAGUUUGGUUUUUUCACUUUAUGAAUAUGAAGAACAAUUGUUUGUCUGCCAUUUAGUUUGAAUGAUAUAUGCUGGAUGGAUACUGCACAAGAUGAACAGAUGCGACUAGUAUUCCUUGAAUGCUGAAAUGCCUAUGUUAUAACUUAAUUUGACUUGGAAAAGGGAUGAAAGACCUAAUGAGUUAAUACCGAACGUUACGCUUGGCUGAUGUCGAUGAAGGCCACAUAAAUGAGAAACGCGAUUUCCAGAACGUCCAUAAAGAUGGAGCUGGGCUUGACUCUUUUGAUCGGAUGAAUCAUAUGAGACAUGCAUAUGCGGGUUUAGACUUGGGAGAAAGAUGACAAAGUCUCCAGUUCACCAUGGAAAGGUGAAAGACGCCUAGGAUGGAUCUUCUUGGCUGCCUCUACUACGAUAGGCUAUCUAUGUGGGGACCAGGGUGGAACAUUACCAGCAGAGGAGGUUUUCAGUACUUCAUCACAUUUACUGAUGAUUUCAGUAGAUAUGGUUAUGUGUAUUUAACGAAACACAAAUCAGAGUCCUUUGAAAAGUUCAAGGAAUUCAAGAAUGAAGUACAAAACCAAAUAGGUAAGAAUAUUAAAACUCUUCGAUCAAAUCGAGGUGGUGAGUAUUUAAGCCUAGAGUUUGAUGACCAUCUGAAAGAGUGUGGGAUUCUAUUCCAACUUACUCCUCCUGGAACACCCCAAUGGAACAGUGUAUCUGAGAGAAGAAAUCGAACCUUGUUAGACAUGGUCCGAUCCAUGAUGAGUCACGCCAAUCUUCCAAACUCCUUUUCGGGACCUGCAAUAUUGACAACAGCUUACACACUUAACCGUGUUCCAUCCAAAAAGGUUGAUAAGACACCAUAUGAGAUAUGGAGUGGUAAGAAACAACAUAUGUCUUACAUGAAGAUUUGGGGUUACGAAGUUUAUGUGAAACGACAAAUUUCAACUAAGCUUGAGCCCAAAUCUGACAAAUGCUUAUUUGUGGGGUAUCCUAAAGAAACAAGAGGGUAUUACACGAAGUUUAUGUGAAACGACAAAUUUCAACUAAGCUUGAGCCCAAAUCUGACAAAUGCUUAUUUGUGGGGUAUCCUAAAGAAACAAGAGGGUAUUACUUCUACAAUCCUUCUGAGGGCAAAAUGUUUAUCGCUCGAACUGGAGUCUUCCUAGAAAAGGAUUUUAUUUCCAAAGGAAUCAAUGGGAGGAAAGUAAAGCUUGAAGAAAUUCAAGAAUCACAAAGCAUUGAUACACCUAUGGAGGAAUUAGAGCAGGAAACACAAGUAGUUGUGGAAGAGCAACCUGCUUAAGUAGAACAAUACCAGCGUAGGUCAAGCAGGAUACGUCACCUACCUGAGAGAUAUGGAUAUCUCAUAAUUGAUCAAGGUGAUGUAUUACUCAUGGAUCAAGAUGAGCUUGUGACCUACCAAGAGGCCAUAACUGGUCCCGAUUCUGAGAAGUGGCUAGAAGCCAUGAAAUCUGAAAUGGAUUCCAUACACAAACCAGGUUUGGACCUUGGUAGAGCCUCCUGUAGGAGUUAACCCUAUAGGAUGCAAGUGGGUCUUCAAAAAGAAGGCUGACAUGGAUGGUAAGGUACAUACCUAUAAGGCAAGACUGGUUGCAAAAGGAUAUAAACAAAUUCAUGGGUUGACUAUGAUGAAACCUUUCCACCAGUUGCAAUGCUUAAAUCUUUUCGGAUUUUACUUGCUAUCGCUGCAUAUCAUGAUUAUGAAAUAUGGCAUAUGGAUGUCAAAACUGCUUUCCUUAAUGAGAAUCUUCUUGAGGAUGUGUACAUGACACAGCCUGAAGGAUUUGACAUACCAGAAGAAGCCCAAAAGAUAUGUAAAUUACAAAGAUCAAUCUAUGGAUCGAAGCAAGCUUCCAAGAGUUGGAAUCUUCGUUUUGAUGAAACAGUAAAACAAUAUGGAUUCAUCAAGAAUGAAGAUGAGCCUUGUGUUUACAAGAAGGUUAGUGGGAGCAUGAUCGUCUUCCUGGUAUUAUAUGUAGAUGACAUAUUACUCAUUGGGAACGAUGUCCCUACCCUACAACAAGUAAAGUCUUAGUUGGGGAAAUGCUUUUCUAUGAAGGACCUAGAUGAAACAACCUAUAUAUUAGGAAUCAGGAUCUAUAGAGAUAAAUCACAAAAACUGCUUGGCCUAAGUCAGAGUACAUACAUAGACAAAGUGUUGAGACCAGAGGGACCAGGAGCAUCCAUAACCUGCUGACUCUUCUCCCGCCGAACAAAUGUGUGAUGAGCAACCCAAACAUGCCUCAAUUUAUCAUGUCUAUCAACCAUUAUACCUGUAAUUUAUAGUAAAUCAGACCAUUAAUGCAUGCAAACAACACAAGCAAGAAAAAAAAACACUGAGAAAUUUCCAGAGAUGCAUCUCUGGUUUCUGGAAAACCUUUGAAAAAUCAAGAAGAUGGAUCUCCGGUUCAUGGGAAACUUAAACGCUGAAAAUUUCCGGAGAUGCAUCUCCGGAAUUUUCUACAACUUAGAGGUCGCGACAAUGACGUAAUGUACCACAAUGAAAUGAAUUUUUAUUUUGUUUUAAUCAUCAAUUUCAGCCAACAAACAACUAAUACACUAUGAAUAAACUAUCUUAAAUGUAAUUUCUACUCAUUUCUAACCCUAAUCAUUGAUUUCUAUUCAUUUACAUCGAAACUCAAACAUUUCAAAAACUCAAAAAACUUACAACAACUUGAUGUUUUUGAUGAAAUUGGAUGAUGUUACAAAUGAAGAUUGAUGUUCCUUUGAGCCUUUGAGAGAUUUUUUUUGAGUUAAGAGUCGAGUACAAUGUGAAAUGAGGAAGGAGAAUAUCUGUCACGACUUAACCUCCAAAUUUUUCAGAGAUGUAUCUCCAAAAUAUUUUAACGUUAAUUUACCUUUAUGUGUGUUCGAAGAUGUAUCUCUGAAAACAUGAGAUAUUUUUAAAAUUACGCGUGGUACAUAAAAAAAAACAUAUGAGGUGCGUAGAGAAACCCUCGUUUAUUUUUCUAAUGCAAGUGUUAUCAUUUGCCUAUUCAAUUUGGGCUAAGAUGGGCCUAUUAGACUCACACAAAGUCGACCAAUAUCCAACCCAAAUUCCUAGCUAGUUUCUAGUUGUUCUUUCUUAACGCGUUACCAUUACAUUACCACUAGUGUUGUCCGAAAGCAAGUGUGAAUCUGAUCUCGUUACUUUUGCUACUAGUCUUUCGUCCAUAACUACGCGGAACCAACCAAGCAAUCACAACAAAGAAAAAAAAAUCCGUAAUUACAAUUUUGCCCAAUACUUCAACGGUACCAAAAACCAAACUGGACCCCACUCACAACAAAGAACAUUCUAGAGACUCUCAUCCUCUAACCUAUAUAACCAAUCUCUUACAUUAACCACUCAUUCACAAUUUCACAAUUCAUAGCUUCAAGAACGAAACCCUAAAAUUCUCUCUCUUGUUCUUCGAUUAUCUCUGUUACAAUGGCCGGUAAAGGUGAAGGACCGGCGAUCGGAAUAGAUCUCGGAACUACGUACUCGUGCGUCGGUGUUUGGCAGCACGAUAGAGUCGAAAUCAUCGCCAACGAUCAAGGAAACCGUACCACGCCGUCGUAUGUUGCGUUUACCGAUAGUGAAAGAUUGAUUGGUGAUGCUGCCAAGAAUCAGGUCGCCAUGAACCCUACCAACACCGUCUUCGGUAAUUCAUCGUCAAACCCUAGCUCUUUUUAAGUUUAAUUUUAGGUUUUUAUUUGUAAGAUUAGUGAUGUCUUGAUUAUGCAUUCUUUGGAAUUACUCUGUUUUUUGCAUCGGAGUUAUCGUAACCGAUCUUAGUGAAGAAAUAUUUUAUUUCUAAUUAUUGCUUUUUUAGUGAGAAUUUUAUUUCUAUUUUUAUUAUUUCUAAUCUUUGUUACACUGUCUUGAAUGUGAAGAAAUAUUUUAUUUCUAAUUAUUACUUUUUUAGUGAGAAUUUUAUUUCUAUUUUUAUUAUUUUUAAUCUUUGUUACACUGUCUUGAAUGUGAAGAAAUAUUUUAUGUCUAAUUAUUACUAUUUUAGUGAGAAUUUUAUUUCUAUUUUUAUUAAUUUUGUUCUUUGUUACACUGUCUUGAAUCUUGAAUAUGAUUUAGAAAAUUAUGAUUUAGAUGCCUGAUACAAUUUCUUGAAAGUUCGUUUAGUAGUAAUUGAUUUGAGAAAGAAUGAAUAACAAGAUGGUAUUGUUGUUAUAUUGAUCUGGAAUGAUUUUUGUAUUUGUUGCAUGGAUGAUUUUUUUUUUGAGAUACGAGUUGUUUUUUGUUGUUGUUGUUAACCUAGGAUUGUAAUUUUGCAGAUGCGAAGAGGCUGAUUGGUAGGAGAAUUAGUGAUUCUUCUGUUCAGAGUGAUAUGAAGUUGUGGCCGUUUAAAGUCAUUUCUGGACCGGGUGAAAAGCCUAUGAUUGGAGUUAACUAUAAGGGUGAGGAGAAGCUGUUUGCUGCUGAGGAGAUCUCAUCUAUGGUUUUGAUAAAGAUGCGUGAGAUUGCCGAGGCUUAUCUUGGUUUGACUAUUAAGAACGCCGUUGUUACUGUACCUGCUUACUUUAAUGAUUCUCAGCGUCAAGCAACCAAAGAUGCUGGAGUUAUUGCUGGGUUGAAUGUUAUGCGAAUUAUCAAUGAGCCAACUGCAGCAGCUAUUGCUUACGGUCUUGACAAGAAAGCUACCAGUGUUGGUGAGAAGAAUGUGUUGAUUUUUGAUUUGGGAGGUGGUACUUUUGAUGUGUCUCUUCUUACUAUUGAAGAGGGUAUUUUUGAAGUUAAAGCCACGGCUGGUGAUACCCAUCUUGGUGGUGAAGAUUUUGAUAAUAGAAUGGUUAAUCAUUUUGUACAGGAGUUUAAGAGGAAGAAUAAGAAGGAUAUUAGUGGAAACCCUAGGGCUCUUAGGAGGUUGAGAACAGCUUGUGAGAGAGCGAAGAGAACUCUCUCAUCAACUGCCCAAACAACCAUUGAGAUUGAUUCUUUGUAUGAGGGUGUUGAUUUUUACACCACAAUUACUCGUGCUAGGUUUGAGGAGCUUAACAUGGAUUUGUUCAGGAAAUGUAUGGAGCCCGUGGAGAAGUGUUUGAGGGAUGCUAAGAUGGACAAGAGCACAGUUCAUGAUGUUGUUCUUGUUGGUGGUUCCACUAGGAUUCCUAAAGUUCAGCAGUUGUUGCAGGACUUCUUCAAUGGGAAGGAGCUUUGCAAGAGCAUCAACCCAGACGAGGCAGUUGCUUAUGGUGCUGCUGUCCAGGCAGCUAUUUUGAGCGGUGAAGGAAAUGAGAAGGUACAAGAUUUGUUACUUUUGGAUGUGACUCCAUUGUCUCAAGGUUUGGAGACUGCAGGAGGUGUCAUGACUGUAUUGAUUCCAAGGAACACUACAAUUCCAACGAAGAAGGAGCAAGUGUUCUCUACCUAUUCUGAUAACCAACCUGGUGUCUUGAUUCAAGUUUAUGAGGGUGAGAGAACAAGAACAAAGGACAACAACUUGUUGGGAAAAUUUGAGCUUUCUGGAAUUCCUCCAGCUCCCCGUGGUGUUCCUCAGAUCACUGUUUGCUUUGACAUUGAUGCAAACGGUAUCUUGAAUGUCUCUGCUGAAGACAAAACCACAGGGCAGAAGAACAAGAUUACCAUUACCAAUGACAAAGGGAGGUUGUCAAAGGAAGAAAUAGAGAAGAUGGUACAAGAAGCAGAGAAGUACAAGAGUGAAGAUGAGGACCACAAGAAGAAGGUAGAGGCAAAGAACUCGUUGGAGAACUAUGCCUACAACAUGAGAAACACAAUCAAAGAUGAUAAGAUCAGUUCAAAGCUUUCUGCAGGUGAUAAGAAAGUGAUUGAGGAUGCAAUUGAGGGGGCCAUU